rnacentral:lncRNA from 1 species
ACCGCAUAUUUAUCAAUCCAAGGGCUAAAAAAUUCAUCGUUUCAUUACUUAACAGUAGGGAUAUGCAUGAUAUUUUAACUUCUUCAAGAGAAUUUAUAAACUUUAUAAAUUUUAGAGGGAUGGUGAUGAAAUUGUCCCUAAUUUAAUUAUAUAUUCGUCCAACUGAAUUUUUUUUAAGAGAAAAAAGUAGCACACUAUUUGUUUCAUUUAUUAAAGAAAUGAGUUAAGCUAGAGUAGUGAGGUAAGGGACCUCAGAAUCAGAUCGAAACAAAGAAAUAUAGAAUUAAAUGCGUACAGGUCCCUGCAAAUAUAAUAAAUUAUAAAUAUGUUCCUAUAAAAUUCAACUUUAAUAUAUUGUUCCUGCAAAAGUCCUAAGUCUCUGUCGUUAAAAUCUGUAAGAAAAAUUUAUUUAACUAUAGGUUAAAUACUUAACCGUGAUUAGUUUAUGAGAUAAUUUGAUAUUUUUACUUUUAUUAUAUUAUACUGUUGUGGCUUUCGGAUGGAUAUAUUUGUCAUGACAAAAUUGAAAAUAUAAACAGUUCUCUAAUGGUUCUCUAACGGUAAUAAAUCAGAGAGACAUAUUUGAAAAUAUUAGGACUUUUAUAAUAACAACAUAUAAAAAUUAAACUUUAUAUAAAUAUCUAUAUAAUUUACUAUACUUAUAGAAACCUAAGUGCAUUUAACUUAAAAAAAAUCUAAAAU